rnacentral:rRNA from 1 species
CGAUGGCUAAUACCGCAUGAUGCCUACGGGCCAAAGAGGGGGACCUUCGGGCCUCUCGCGUCAGGAUAUGCCUAGGUGGGAUUAGCUAGUUGGUGAGGUAAUGGCUCACCAAGGCGACGAUCCCUAGCUGGUCUGAGAGGAUGAUCAGCCACACUGGAACUGAGACACGGUCCAGACUCCUACGGGAGGCAGCAGUGGGGAAUAUUGCACAAUGGGCGCAAGCCUGAUGCAGCCAUGCCGCGUGUAUGAAGAAGGCCUUCGGGUUGUAAAGUACUUUCAGUCGUGAGGAAGGUGGUGUUGUUAAUAGCAGCAUCAUUUGACGUUAGCGACAGAAGAAGCACCGGCUAACUCCGUGCCAGCAGCCGCGGUAAUACGGAGGGUGCGAGCGUUAAUCGGAAUUACUGGGCGUAAAGCGCAUGCAGGUGGUGGAUUAAGUCAGAUGUGAAAGCCCGGGGCUCAACCUCGGAACCGCAUUUGAAACUGGUUCACUAGAGUACUGUAGAGGGGGGUAGAAUUUCAGGUGUAGCGGUGAAAUGCGUAGAGAUCUGAAGGAAUACCGGUGGCGAAGGCGG